CUUCCUCCGCCCAGCCGCCACAGUAAUUUGUCAUCAAGUUUGCCGUAGGAGGAUAUUUUAUUCUGGGUUAACCUGCUUUUAUACUUCGCAGGUUGUUUAUCGAUAUUUGUAUAAUUUUAUUUACUCCUAGAAUUUCCGCAUGUGUUAGCAGUAAUUAUUUGAAUUUGGUCUGUAAUAUUAUUAUCAUGUUGGACCUGUAAACUUAAUAUUUUAAGUCUGUUUUAAUGGAUUGGAUGAGGGAGCUGAGCUCCCAUUUAUUAUUA